rfam:Trachymyrmex septentrionalis contig21896, whole genome shotgun sequence.
UACAAUAAAUAGUUUAUAAAAAAAAAAAAAAAAAGUUCUCGUCUGAUCACUGAAGUCAAGCAACGUUGAGCACGGUCAGUACUUGGAUGGGUGACCGCUUGGGAACACCGUGUGAUGUUGCCU